GGCGGCGGCGGCGGCGGCUACAAGUCCUCGUCUUCCGGGUCCGCUGGAGAGUCCUCGUCUAAGGGACCCAGGUCAGCAGAAACUAGCUGGGAUACUAACAAAACCAGAUUAAUCAAGACCAUUAUUGAAGAGGUGGCACCUGAUGGUAGAGUCCUUUCAUCUACGGUUGAAUCAGAAACCAAGAAACACUACUACUAAGUUACCUCAAGAGGAAAGAGUCUCCCUUCACACAGGCCAUUAUAUACAGAUGCGUGGGAAACAAAAUCGCCAAGAAAACUCUUGAGUCUUAAUGGUCUAUAGAAAUAGGUUCACUCCUUGAAAAUAAGGUGUCUAAAAGGUGUUCUGUGGUUUCUGUAUUUCUUUUCACUUUACCAGAAAGUGUUCUUUAAUGGAAAAAAGAAAAGAAAAAGAAAAACUUUCUAUUCUCAUUUACUAAUGAAUUUCAAUAAACUUUCUUACUGAUGCAAACUA